GUGUCAGCAGCCGCGGUAAGACGAACCGUGCGAACGUUGUUCGGAAUCACUGGGCUUAAAGGGCGCGUAGGCGGGUCGGCAGGUCAGGGGUGAAAUCCCGCAGCUCAACUGCGGCAGUGCCUUUGAUACCGCCGAUCUCGAGGGAGGCAGGGGAGCGCGGAACUUCCGGUGGAGCGGUGAAAUGCGUAGAUAUCGGAAGGAACACCGGUGGCGAAAGCGGCGCUCUGGCCCUCUUCUGACGCUGAGGCGCGAAAGCCAGGGGAGCAAACGGGAUUAGAUACCCCGGUAGUCC
rnacentral:rRNA from 1 species